rnacentral:lncRNA from 1 species
GAUGAGGGGGUUGAUACCCCAUGUCCCCAAGGUCAGAGGUUCAACCCCUAACACAUGCAUUUUAUUCCUUUUCUAUUUCUUUCCCUUUAGUUUUAUUUUAUUUUUACCCCAUUUAAUUUCCAUUUCAUUUUUUUGCCCCACUUAUAUUUAUUUUUCUGAAAAUAUUCCUAACAUAAACUCAUGUUAUUUCUGUCUCUACUAUUUUU